rnacentral:rRNA from 1 species
UAUUGGACAAUGGGCGCAAGCCUGAUCCAGCCAUGCCGCGUGAGUGAUGAAGGCCUUCGGGUUGUAAAGCUCUUUUGGCGGGGACGAUGAUGACGGUACCCGCAGAAUAAGCCCCGGCUAACUUCGUGCCAGCAGCCGCGGUAAGACGAAGGGGGCUAGCGUUGUUCGGAAUUACUGGGCGUAAAGCGAGUGUAGGUGGUUGUCCAAGUUGGAUGUGAAAGCCUUGAGCUCAACUCAAGAAAUGCAUUCAGGACUGGAUGGCUAGAGGACCGGAGAGGAUAGUGGAAUUCCCAGUGUAGUGGUGAAAUACGUAGAGAUUGGGAAGAACACCAGUGGCGAAGGCGGCUAUCUGGACGGUUCGACACUAAGACCGAAA